AGAAAAAGAGGCAAUUAAAAUCCAAGACUUCUAAAUCUUGAAGUCUUAGUGUACAUGUAGAUAAACAAACGCAAACACACACACACAUAUGCUUUUAACUCAAAACAAAAUUAAUUGAGCUAACACUUUCCUUCUUAAUUUUGAAACUCAUUCCUAAAUAUAAUACCUAUUUACCAAACACCUCCCUAAGAGAUUCUCCGAUCAUAGUACUUUCAGUCAAUCCCUCUUCUCAAUAGUAAACUUUCACACUCAAAUUGUUCAAAACAUGUGAUUAAUGACAUUCAAGACAUACAUCUCGAAUAAGUUAAACAAAAUAAAAUAAAUAAGUUGCCUAAGUCCUUGCCACCCCGCACCAAUAAUGAUGAAGAUGACAAUGAAGUUUUCCUGAAAUAGAAAAGAAAAAGAACAAGAUUCACGUGGUUUGGUCAGUUAAAUCUAAGUUUAUAGGUGGAUAAGAUUAAUGUUUCACCAUCAUGAAAAAGGAUAACAUGUGUAGGAGAAUAUUCUAAAGGACCCAAGGUAGAAAGACGAUUUUCAAAAAAUAAACUAGAUAUAUAAAAGGGAUGAAAUUCAUGAAAGUAUGUAUGCCAUAAAGACAAUCACUUUUUAAGAUUUUUUUAUAUAUAUAUUUGAACUAUUUAUGUAUUAACAAAUAACAUUUUUAUCAUAUUGAUUACUUGUAUAUUUACACUUGUAUGAUAAAGUCCCUAGAAUAAACUUAAUCAAUGAAAUCGUAAGUGUUAUGAUGGUGAGGUUCAUUUGAUUAAAUAUAAAGUUUAUUCUUAAAUAUCUCUAGUCAAAGUAUUUACAAGAACGGGACAUUGUUAAUAUUAUUAAACUAGCAUAUACUAUGCCGUUUCCAUUAAGGAAGUAGUAGACCUCAUCUACUAUAUUAUGUAAGACACAUAAAAUAGAAUAUGGGUGCUUGAUAGUAUAAUCCAAUUCCCUAGAUUGAUCUGUGUUAGAGAUUUCUUUUGUGCUAAAAGAAUUAAUCUCUAGAUGAUGUUUUACAUAAGUGAGUCUUGGGUUUAAAGUUAUCAUUGUGACAACCCGGCCUUCUCCUAGGGCAUACCCUAGAAGUUAGCGGACUGUCUGUCUGGCUCUCGUCAGGACUCAUUUAUUUAUAUUAACUUCAGAGAUAACAUUUCUCAUUAAUCAUCCAAACAUCCAUUCUUAAUAGUUCUUAAUAACACAAAAGCUUCGUCCACUACAAAUUAAACAAGUAAAUCAUCCAAAUGUUCAUUCUUAAGUACAUCACCCAAGUACAUCACCAACUAGUGUAAAAUAUAAAUCUAGCCAUUAAGAGAUGCAAAAUGUAGGUCUUAUCAUCAAUAUAUAACAUUAGACCUCCCAAAACACUCUAACUCUACUUGAUCGUCCUUCAAACUUCAGCUCUUGUAAGAAAAACAAAGCUACAAAGUUGAGCUAACGCUCAGUGAGGUUUCCAUGCAAGCAACAAUCAAUAAACAUUUAAACUAGAUAAGCCAGUAGCAAAAUUAAGCAAUUAAAGAACACUUCACUGAAUCAAGUAGAGAGCACUUCACUAAAUAAUGACUUUUAAAAGGAUACGGUGCUCGCAUUAGAGCCACUUCAAAGUACUACACACUCCACCAACUCCUCCUUAUAACCUCCAAAACAAUAAACACUUCCCUCACUUAGAUGGCCAUAUCUGUGACGCCCCCACUUCUCCCUAAGGCAUACCAAAGGGUAUCCGCGGGACGCCUGCCCAACUCUCGCCAGGAUUCAAGCAAUCUACGUUCAAGCUUAUAACGGUACUAGACAUCACAUCCAGAUAAAAUAAAUGCAAUUAGUGCGGAAGCGUUCAAGGUUAACAAUAUUUAACAAUCACCCAAUCCAUACAGCGGGGUCCAUGAUGCAUCCUAAAAUAUACAGUAGUCCAAAAUAUCUAGUCAAUAGAAUUGAAAUUCUAUUACAAAAGUCUAUAAAAGUACACAAAAUAGAAUUUCCUCCGAGUCUCAUUCCAAACCCAAUCCUUUUAAGGAAAACAAAUCUACAGGGUGAGCAAAAUGCUCGUGAGGCCAAGGACACACAUGCAGGCAUGUUGUUCAAGUAACACUCCCAAUUUAACAAGUCGAGCAAUAAUAUUUCAAUAAUAACAAUUCACGUUAGAAAAGUAAACAGAAACAAUUCAAGAAUAUAUGAGCUCUCAGGAGCUAUUUUUCACUUGUACGAUCACGAACCUCUACGAGUUGACACUCCGUCAAUCGGGUAGGUUUAGUCCGUAGAAGCUUCACUUACACUUUUCCCUUUCACCUUACAUACCACACCGGGCCCGCAAUACAUUUAUAAGGCAAUACUCUACGAGUAUGCCAAACAAGACCUCUCAAUAGGUCAAGCUUAUGUGAUCUCAUGGUUCACUAAGGAGCCCGACCAAGCCAAUGCCAGCUCGAGUCCAAGGUUAUCCAGUGAGAUUUGGGCGUCCCCUUCUUAUCACUUAAGAGUCAAGGAGGUUUACUCCAACGACUUAUGCAGCCGUAGCAUAAAUAAUCACUUAAAUUCACUUAACAAGUCACUUCAAGAAUUACAAGCACUUCAUGUCAUGAGAUUCAAAUACAUUACACUUAAAUGAGGACGAGUGUGAUAAAGUACACACUCGACUCGGCAUUUCUAAAAUAUUCAUUUAUCAAAAGCAAUUAACACGUUUCAUACUCUUGACACUCACCGAUACAAGAACAAGGAAGAAACGUCACUGGAAGUUCAGACGUUCACUGUGGGAUCCUCUUGAAGGUUCUCGUGCGAGCCUGAGCAAAUGAUAACGAAUUAUCACUUAGAACCCCCAUCUAUAAUAGAGGAUUGCACAUAGGUACAAUCUAGAAAUACCGCGAAAGGAGUCUUAAGUUCUUGUAAAUUGAGGCUCAAAGGUGGGGUUCUAAAACACCAAUGAAAACUGAUUUUUAUCUUUAAAAUUAUUGGAUGGAAACAAGUAGGUAUGAUACCAUGUAAGUAGAUUUUCAAACGAGCAAUCGAAGACAAAGUAAAACUGUACAUGUCACUAUCCGGCCGAAUUUUCAGCUGGAUUCAAGGCAGAGGCGAAGCUAAUUUUUUUCAAAUUCCACCACCAAUCCGGCCAACUAUCCAGCCAAGAACUGGCUGGAUAUACAGUCGGAUUCUGCGAAAAUGUUUCUCGCGCGAAAAUUUUUCAGAAGGCUAAGAAUUAUCGGAUUCGAAGGCAUUCUUUGAAAAAUCAUAACCCACUCUCUAUAAAUUCAAAAUUGGAAAAUUUGGUACCGUUGGAAACCACUUCCAAAGUGCUAAGAGUUUCUAGAAGACACCUUUCCAUGAAUCCAAGUGGAGGGUACCCAAAAAUUAGCUCAAAGUUGCUGUUUUGGGCAUUGAAGGCAGGUUUAGGUUGGUUUUUGACCAACUUUGAAAAUUCGGCAAAAUUCACUCACUUUGAACUAGCCUUCAAAAUUUGGUACUCUGCUAGAGUUGCAAUCCAAGUUAAAAACAAAAUAAGUGGAGUGAGAAUUGAAGUUUUGAGCACCAAGAUAUGGUGACCCAAAGUUACCAAAAUCUCCUUGUUAAACAAGGGUUUUCCAAGUUCAAGUCAUGAACUUUGGAAGUUUAGUUGAGCAAUGAAACGGCCUCGGAAUAGCACCAAAAUUAGCAGUAUAAUACUACCAUAUAAGGACUACUUCUCUGUAAAAUUUCAUAGAAAAAUAUGUACGGGAAAUCGGUUAACGAAACCAUUAAAAUCACAAGAAAUCCUAAGGCUAAGCUGCCUUUGAACUUCCGUUUUGCUGUUUUCGAACAUUUGGCCAACAAACAUCUCAACCAUGGUCCAUUCCAAUAGGUAAUGUCUAAAAUAUGCCCAAGGUACAUUUGAUAGGUGAUUUACACCAAGAAGUUUUGGAUAACAAAUCCCAAAGCAACGUUAGUUUCAAAUCUGUCCAAAUGCAUGGUUUUCCUACACAAAACCAGUUUCGAAUUUUGACCAUAAAUCACUCAAUUCAACUCGGAAUUGAGCGUGGUUGGUGGCGUUGGAAAAUAAAUUCAUAAGGCUACAUUUUCCUAGAUGAAACCAUUUUCAAAAUCCAUCCAUAACUAGUUCAUACAUGAGCAUCAAGUCGCAGUUCAUAAUCUGCCUUCCAGUGACAAAUGAAACAGGACAGAAAGUUUCAAACGAAUGGUUUGGCUCACUCGAGUGGAACCAGAAUGUGUAUUUUAUACCAAAUGAAAUCUGAGAAUGUCUAGUUUUCAGUGCCGCAAACAGUACUCGAUUCCGACAUCGGAGCGAUGAAUUAUAGCCGAAACAAGAUGACUGUCUGGGUAGUGACGGGAAUCAUUUUCCAGUUUUCUCAACUUUGGAAAUCACUUCAUUUAACCAACCAAACCAUGUUAUUUUUCCGUGAAUCUUUUUACGCAAUCGAAAUAACAUGUAAACAACAUAAACAAGCCAUUAGAUCCUCAAAAUUUCGAACCAAAGUGCUCUAACAAGGCAGGGCAAAACGGUCACUUUUGAUCAAUGCACCAUCCUUGAGUUUCUAUCAACAACCCAACAUUAAUCCACUAGUUUAAGCACUAAAUAAAGAUUAUUACCAUCAAAACACCACAAAUCAGUCCAUAUAUCCAAGGUGGGAGUUCAUAGAGCCCACUCACCAAUUUUACAACAAUUUAAAGCUACCCACGAGAAUCCAAGAGCUCAUGAGUGUAAUCUAACUUCCACAAAUCAAGAAUUGAGAGGUUGAUCGUUCAUUACCUAUUUGGAUGACUCAAACAGAAAUUUUCGGCCCAAAUAAGCUCAAGAAAACCGUGGAGUUGAGGCUCUUUUUCUAGCUUGAGUUGCGCUCCAAGUGUUUAGCAAAGUGUAGUUAAAAUUUGGGGUAAUUUGGUGGAGAUUUGAAGUAGUUUGGUGCAAGAUGGAGUGAAAAGAUGAAGAAGCAUUUUGGUCUUCUUCUUUCCCUUGCUGUUCGGUUGUGUUGAGGUGAGAAAUAGAGAGUGUUUGCUGAUGGUGAGGCUUCCGUGAGAAGCUUAGCAAUUGUGGGUUUCAAGUGUACAAAAGUAAACUCUCCAAUAGUGCGCGUACGCACGCGUUUUGUACUCGAUUUCUCUUAAAUUUGUUACACUAGUGCACUAAACCUAUAAUGCACUUACAUUCAUAUCAUCAUCACUCUUAGUAGUCCCAAAGUAAACAUCUAAGGUCCUUCAAUUAAUCGUGCGCGUAAAAACGCGUAUUUCCAAUUUAAGCGCGAUAACGCGAAAUCUCUAAAAAAAUUUUAUAAUGAUAAUAUUACUAACUAAUAUUUGAGUGCUUAAACAUAAAAUACCUAAUUUAGGACUAAUGUACAUGUCUCCAAUUUUUCCAAACUUAUUGUAUUCUCGAUUCAAUUAUUUACUCCAAUCGCGUAUUCACUAUUUUCACUUAACGAGUCUUCAGAAAUUAAAUUUUGAAACGAGUCACUUUAAAAAUAUAACUAAGCCAUAGAUCCCUUUAAUUAGGUCUAAAAAGGUUAGAAAAUAAUAUUUGGGGCAAUUGGCCAAAUAAAUAAUUAAAUGAGCUAGAAUUUGGAGUUUAAAAAUAGGUAAAUUUUUGUGAGUCUUUACAUGAAUCGAAUAUUAAUUCCUCAAUGAACCUUUCUUAAUCUACCAUUGAUCAUUCUUAACUCUCUAAUAUUAAAACAUUCCCAAUUCAAGUAUAGCCUCGAAAGACGUGCACUCAUUGUUCCGAACUAAACGAAUUCUUGAAAAGUAAAUUUUCCAACAAAACGCUUUAAAAAUAUCAAAAGAGGCGUAAUCCAUAUGAAUGGAUUUUAAAUAGUCAAAAUAAAUAAUUCGAAGAAAAUGAAUAAAUAAAUAUUUAAGUAAACUUGUAAUAUUCGAUAAAUAAGAAAAUUUUCGGGUCCUCACAAUAUCAAUAUCAGUGAUCUUUCUACUCCGUGGUAAUACUCGAGCAUACCAAUACACUUACCCAAAGCUACCGUCCUAUCCGACCAAGCCCUUUUGCUGGCUCGAAUAGUCCAUUGAACAAAGGGUUUUAGGGCCCAAUUCAGCCGGUAUGAUAAAGUACACACACGGCUUACAGUCAUGCACACUUAUAAUAACAUUUAGCCAAUUACCAAACUUUAAACUCAAUUAAGUCGAGUGCGAUAAAAUACACCAUCGACUUAGAAGGCGAGGGACAAUUGAGAUAUACUUUACAAUGAAUCACUUAGUAAUAUUUCAUAAUAAGCACAUUUAUCACAUAAUUCCACUUAAGUAAACAUAAACAGUUAAACACAUAAAUUCGGAAACACUCACCAAAUAUCCAAAUAAAUUACUCUUGAGCCUCAAGUUUGUUUCCUGGCUCACAGCUAUUCCCUGAGAUAAGUGUAUAAGUCCAAAGUAAAUAUAAAAUUUGUAGAUAUUCAUUUAUUAUUUAUUACCCUAUUAUCGGAACUAUUAAAAUCAAGUUUGACUUUAAAAUAUAAUAUAUUCAAUAUUUAUUCUACAUUUUAUUUCGAAGCUUAUUGACUUUAUCAUUUUAACUAAGAAAUAUACAUAUUUUUCAAGAUUAUAAUUUAUAAAUAUUUAAAUUAGGAUUAAACCAUUUUCUACUUUAUAUCCUAAGGUUAAAGUAAAUAAACUUUUCAUCCUUCCCUUUUUAAUCCAAACCAAUUCUAAGCUGCCUAUGAUUUGAGUUUUGUAGUAACUCAUUAGUUUUCUAGUUUUAAUUUUCUUAAAUGCUCAUAAGCGUAGUUUUUACAACCAAUUAGCUAGAAUUCAAGAUUUCAUAGAAGUUUCAUUUUUCUCUUCAUCCGAUCCCAUAACAGGAUUUCAGCUCAAAUGUUCCUAAACCUAUAAUAAACUUCACCUUUUAAUUGCUUAAACUUUAGUCACCUAAUAAACAUUCCAUUCAUGGUGAUUACCUCAUAAUUUCCGCAUGUUGACUGACCAUAUCAUAUUCAAGAUCUGUCAUCUACAAUGACAACCAUUAACUAAGCUUUCUAGCAAUGUAUCAGUCCAAUAUUCAGUAUAUUUCCCUUAAAUCUUUCCUUUCACUCUCAUGUCCCAACUAGCCAGGUUAAUUACAUUUAUUAAGCUACAAAGUAGCCUUGUACAUAACUUGGAAAAUUUUGCAGCUAACUUAGAGGAUAAGACUGUUCUACUCUUCCUUCUGUCUCUCGGUCAUGAGGUAAUUCAACAGCACAUCUCAUUGCUUCCCUCCUCAUUUGUUUUAGUUUAACUCUACUUACUGAACCAGCCGUAGACAUUAAACAACAAAGCAACCUUAGUUCUACCUGUGGAAGUUCACAGAGCCAGAAAUUAAAAAAAAGGCUGCUCUACAAGCUGAUUUCCUUCGCUUUUUUUUUUUCUAUCAUAGCAGAUUGUACCAGCUUCCUUUUGUCAAAUUUUAGUUAAGCUUCCUGAAGUUUUCUGAUUUCCAAGGCACCUAUCUGUUAAGGUAAAGAAUUAACAUAUCUCAUGCGGUUGUUAGUAAGUGUUUCCAACAUAUUAACAACAAGUUGCAUAUUCUGUUUCAUUUCCUCGGCCAACCUAUCUGCAGUAAAUUGAAGGAAAUCUGCAGUAAAUUGAACUCAUUCUUCCUUCAAUGUUCAUUUUAGUUUCCACUUGUUUCUGUCAUGCUCGAUGAAGUUAAGAUGCUUUACAAUACAUUACAGCUUAAUACGAAAUUUAAAACUAAACUUUGCAGAAGACAGCUAGAGUUUCUUCACUUCUUCUCUCUCGGAUGAAGCUAUAAGGAUUCUAGCAGGUUUCUUUCUUUGUUUUCAACUCAAAGUUUCAACUUUCACAAGUUUCUAUAGCUAAAAUUCACUUAAUGCCUUCCAUUUUUCCAUUGAUAACAAGCUGCAAUUCAUUUAGCCAUCUCUCGGUUCCCACAGAUUCAGUCCAGCUUCAAUUUUAUUCCUUCAUCAGAUUUUUCCUCAGUUAAAACUUAUUUUUCCUUGCUAAAAACUAACAUGCAGCCCAUAUAUUCAGUUAUACACUGUAAAUAAAAGAAGGUUACAAAGAGUUUUACCUUUUUCCUUUAAGUUUUAACGGUUACAGACUGCUCCUAAUCUUAGCCUCGGUUCCUCAACUCUUGCACCAGCUAUAUCUCCCUUCCUUGCAUUUGUUGGUUUGUUCGUUUAUGUUUAGCAGCUGAUGGAGUUAAUCAGCUUCCUCUCCUCACCUCUAAUUCCACUCCUCGGUUGGUUUGAGAAAGAAAGAAUGAAAUAAAGAAGGAAAGAAAGAAAAGUAAGGAGCUGCCUGGUUCCAGUGCACAAAUGAAAUUCUUAGCUUCUCUCUUUCGGUCACUGCUUACUCAGCAAUGAAAUUCCUGGCAGCUGUCUAAAUAAG
rnacentral:lncRNA from 1 species